rnacentral:rRNA from 1 species
GACGAACGCUGGCGGCGUGCUUAACACAUGCAAGUCGAACGGAAGGGCCCUGCUUUUGUGGGGUGCUCGAGUGGCGAACGGGUGAGUAACACGUGAGUAACCUGCCCUUGACUUUGGGAUAACUUCAGGAAACUGGGGCUAAUACCGGAUAGGAGCUCCUGCUGCAUGGUGGGGGUUGGAAAGUUUCGGCGGUUGGGGAUGGACUCGCGGCUUAUCAGCUUGUUGGUGGGGUAGUGGCUUACCAAGGCUUUGACGGGUAGCCGGCCUGAGAGGGUGACCGGCCACAUUGGGACUGCGAUACGGACCAGACUCCUACGGGAGGCAGCAGUGGGGAAUAUUGCCCAAUGGGCGGAAGCCUGAUGCAGCAACGCCGCGUGCGGGAUGACGGCCUUCGGGUUGUAAACCGCUUUCGCCUGUGACGAAGCGUGAGUGACGGUAAUGGGUAAAGAAGCACCGGCUAACUACGUG